rnacentral:rRNA from 1 species
GACGAACGCUGGCGGCGUGCUUAACACAUGCAAGUCGAACGGUGAACUCGAGAGCCUGCUCUUGAGGGAUCAGUGGCGAACGGGUGAGUAACACGUGAGUAACCUGCCCCAGACUCUGGAAUAACACCUGGAAACAGGUGCUAAUACCGGAUACGACGCGAACAGGCAUCUGUAUCGUGUGGAAAGUUUUUCGGUCUGGGAUGGACUCGCGGCCUAUCAGCUAGUUGGUGAGGUAAAGGCGCACCAAGGCGACGACGGGUAGCCGGCCUGAGAGGGCGACCGGCCACACUGGGACUGAGACACGGCCCAGACUCCUACGGGAGGCAGCAGUGGGGAAUUUUGGACAAUGGGGGCAACCCUGAUCCAGCCAUGCCGCGUGCGGGAAGAAGGCCUUCGGGUUGUAAACCGCUUUUAGCCGGAAAGAAAAGGCGUCUCCUAAUACGAGGCGUUCUUGACGGUACCGGCGGAAUAAGCACCGGCUAACUAC